UGAGCGUGAACGGCAUCAUGAAUUGGCUAGAAGAUCCCAAAGGUGCUUGUGACUGGUGGAGGUGGAGCCUUGUAGCAAUAUAGUUGCGGAAUAUAAGUGGAACCGUGGCGUUCCAUGGACUUCAGUGCAGGCUGGUUUAGAUAUGCAUAUUUGCUCUUUGUCCACCAGUCCUUUAUACCAACUCUCUUCUCCUUCAUGUUCUCAUUGAUUUCGGAGAUGUUCUUAGGUACCAUUUCGUUCUCCAUGUCAUCA
rnacentral:misc_RNA from 1 species